UAACAUGUUCAUCAUCAUUGCAACAACACCAAACUUAUUUUUUAUUUCCUCUUCUGCCUGAAGAUCAUUCAGGCUGAUUGCUGCAGAAAAACAGAUCUGUUCAUAGUUUAUCCAAAGAGAAAAGAUGGAAGCUGUAGUUGUUCUGCUGCUGAUGGUACUCAGAAUUUCUAACGGUGAGCUGUUGGAUUUUUAUGACACAGUUUUGCUCUGAAUUCAGAUCCAUAUAAUUUCUGGAGAUGUGUAUAAUGUUUGCAUGUUUAGCAUUUGUUUGUGGUUUAUUGUGUUGACAUGUGCAUUAGAAAUAUGUAGGAUAGAACCUGUUUAGGAUUUGGUCAUUUGUGUGUUGUGCAGGUGUAGAAACCUCCUGUGAUGGACGACAGGAUAAAACUCAGUGUUAUGGAGCUCUGGGAGGAACUCUGGUCCUGCAGUUGAUGGACAAAGUCCCAGAGAUACUGACAUUCAAAUGGGGGAACUCAACAGGAACGAUUCUGAAUCGGAUUAGAAACGGGUCUGUGACGAAUACAUUAUCAAACAGGUCAGAGUUUAUUUCCCAUAAUGGAACACUGAGGAUGAACAGCCUGAACAGAACUGAUGGUGGUGAAUAUAAACUUGAAAUAUUUAAAGAGGAUGGAGUGAGAACAGCAGUACGGACUCUACAGUUGAACAUCCAAGGUACGUUUGACUGAGAGCUUUGAUUAAAUCUUCCUGUCAUAUUCUAACUCUUAUAUAACACAGGAUUCAUGUUCUGCUGUGUAGAGAGCUGAUCAUUUUCUGUUCUAAUCAAAGUUCAUGUGUUUCAGCUCCUGUGUCGACUGUCCGGCUGACGUCUGAGUGUCUGUCCCAGGGAGAGAAGAGGAUGUCCUGCUCCUCUGUUGGAGACAGUCCUCAGUACAGCUGGACUCUGGAUGGAGACACACUGACAGAUGAUCAGGUCCUCUCUGGGAAUAAUGAGACUAAUGAGAUCAUUCUGAAACAAACAGUGUCAGGACGGCUGGUGUGUUUAGUCAGGAAUCACGUCAGUGAAGCCUCAGUAACAGAGAUGAUUUCAACCUGUGGUGUAGAAACCUCCUGUGAUGGCCGGCAGGAUAAAACUCAGUGUUAUGGAGCUCUGGGAGGAACUCUGGUCCUGCAGUUGAUGGACAAAGUCCCAGAGAUACUGACAUUCAAAUGGUGGAACUCAAAAGGAAUGAUUCUGAUUCAGAUUAGAAACAGGCCUGUGAUGAAUAGAUUAUCAACCCGGUUAGAGUUUAUUUCCCAUAAUGGAACAUUGAGGAUAAACAGCCUGAGGAGAACUGAUGGUGGAGAAUAUAAACUUGAAAUAUUUAAUGAGGAUGGAGAGAGAACAGCAGUACGGACUCAACAGUUGAACAUCCAAGCUCCUGUGUCGACUGUCCGGCUGACGUCUGAGUGUCUGUCCCAGGGAGAGAAGAGGAUGUCCUGCUCCUCUGAUGGAGACAGUCCUCAGUACAGCUGGACUCUGGAUGGAAACACACUGACAGAUGAUCAGCUCCUCUCUGUUAAUAAUGAGACUAAUGAGAUCAUUCUGAAACAAACAGUGUCAGGACGGCUGGUGUGUUUAGUCAGGAAUCACGUCAGUGAAGCCUCAGUAACAGAGAUGAUUUCAACCUGUGGUGUAGAAACCUCCUGUGAUGGCCGGCAGGAUAAAACUCAGUGUUAUGGAGCUCUGGGAGGAACUCUGGUCCUCCAGUUGAUGGACAAAGUCCCAGAGCUGGUGACAUUCAGAUGGUUGAAAUCAAAUGUAUUAAUUCUGAUUCAGAUUAGAAACGGGCCUGUGACGAAUAAAUUAUCAACCAGGUCAGAGUUUAUUUCCCAUAAUGGAACAUUGAGGAUGAACAGCCUGAGCAGAACUGAUGGUGGUGAAUAUAAACUUGAAAUAUUUAAUGAGGAUGGAGCGAGGACAGCUAGUCGGACUCAACAGUUGAACAUCCAAGCUCCUGUGUCGACUGUCCGGCUGACGUCUGAGUGUCUGUCCCAGGGAGAGAAGAGGAUGUCCUGCUCCUCUGAUGGAGACAGUCCUCAGUACAGCUGGACUCUGGAUGGAGACACACUGACAGAUGAUCAGCUCCUCUCUGGGAAUAAUGAGACUAAUGAGAUCAUUCUGAAACAAACAGUGUCAGGACGGCUGGUGUGUUUAGUCAGGAAUCACGUCAGUGAAGCCUCAGUAACAGAGAUGAUUUCAACCUGUGGUGAGUGA
ensembl:lncRNA